rnacentral:rRNA from 1 species
UGCGUAGGUCCCGAGCGUUGUCCGGAUUUAUUGGGCGUAAAGCGAGCGCAGGUGGUUUAUUAAGUCUGGUGUAAAAGGCAGUGGCUCAACCAUUGUAUGCAUUGGAAACUGGUAGACUUGAGUGCAGAAGAGGAGAGUGGAACUCCAUGUGUAGCGGUGAAAUGCGUAGAUAUAUGGAAGAACACCAGUGGCGAAAGCGGCUCUCUGGUCUGUAACUGACGCUGAGGUUCGAAAGCGUGGGUAGCAAACAGG